rnacentral:rRNA from 1 species
UACAGAGGGUGCAAGCGUUAAUCGGAAUGACUGGGCGUAAAGGGUGCGUAGGUGGUUGAUUAAGUUUCAUGUGAAAUCCCCGGGCUCAACCUGGGAACUGCAUGGGAAACUGGUAAGCUAGAGUAGAGUAGAGGUGAGUGGAAUUCCCGGUGUAGCAGUGAAAUGCGUAGAGAUCGGGAGGAACAUCAGUGGCGAAGGCGACUCACUGGACUCAUACUGACACUGAAGCACGAAAGCGUGGGGAGCAAACAGG